GAAAUGCAAUAAGUAAUGUAAAUUGCAGAAUUCAGUAAAUCAUCGAAUCUUUGAACACACAUUGCGCCCGCCAGUACUCUAGCGGGCAUACCUGUUCGAGCGUCAUUUCAACCAUCAAGCCCCGGGCUUAUAUUGGGGACCUACGGCCGCCGCAGGCCCCGAAAAUCAGUGGCGGGCUCGCUGUCACACCGAGCGUAGUAGCAAUCACCUCGCUCAGGGCGUGCCGCGUACGCCGGCCGUAAAAAAGCCAACGUACCCCAAGGUUGACCUCGGAUCAGGUAGGAAUACCCGCUGAACUUAA
rnacentral:misc_RNA from 1 species